rnacentral:lncRNA from 1 species
CAAGUGGCGACUCUAAAUAAAUAAUCCCGAUCCGAAUAAUGUCACUUUAAAUAGAAAAACUCCAAUAUACAUUAUCCUUCGGGGUAGAUGUAAAAAGGAGGUGUGACAGCUCUGGCGACUCUGCUGGCGAUAAGAACCCAGAAUGUUUUGUUCAGGGUUCAGAAUUCGAGCUUAGAAUAAUUGUUGUGUUUGGCUUUAUCGGAUUUUGUUACAUGAUAUGUGCCUAAUAUGCUAAUUGACUUCUUUUACCGCUUUGAUAUUAUGUGAACUGUAUAUAAAACUGUGCUGAAACCCAUCUCCUCUCUGAGUCUUCUAAAUCAUGAAGAAAGGUGCACUUCGUGUGACUUCUUUUCUGUAUAGUGUCUAAUUCCCAAUUUAGAACGAGGUUUGAAUAAGUUGCAAAGAAGGCGAAGCU